rnacentral:rRNA from 1 species
GACGAACGCUGGCGGCGUGCUUAACACAUGCAAGUCGAACGGUAAGGCCCUUCGGGGUCCACGAGUGGCGAACGGGUGAGUAACACGUGGGUAAUCUGCCCUGCACAUCGGGAUAAGCCUGGGAAACUGGGUCUAAUACCGAAUAGGACCACAGGACACAUGUCCUGUGGUGGAAAGCUUUUGCGGUGUGGGAUGGGCCCGCGGCCUAUCAGCUUGUUGGUGGGGUGAUGGCCUACCAAGGCGACGACGGGUAGCCGGCCUGAGAGGGUGUCCGGCCACACUGGGACUGAGAUACGGCCCAGACUCCGACGGGAGGCAGCAGUGGGGAAUAUUGCACAAUGGGCGAAAGCCUGAUGCAGCGACGCCGCGUGGGGGAUGACGGCCUUCGGGUUGUAAACCUCUUUCACCAUCGACGAAGGUCCGGGUUUUCUCGGGCUGACGGUAGGUGGAGAAGAAGCACCGGCCAACUACGUG